UGGCCCACAAGUCUGGCUAUGCCAUUGGAAAGACCUGGAUUUCAAUCCACCUUCUGGCAUUUUUACAGUGGUUUAUGAGCAACUUAAUUAACCUCUCUUGGGCUCAGUUUUCUCACAUAUAAAAUGGGGCUGUUGUGAGGAUUAAACAAUGCAGAGAACUUGCAUGUAAACAAAAAGUAAAUUGUAACCACUGAAAGUCCGCUGUUUCGAUUCUGGGCAAGAUGCUAUGGCAGAACAGGGACCAUGAUGAACUACUUAGAAAAAUACAUAAGGCCAUAAAUAAUGUGUGAUUAUUUGAUGAAUGCCUGUCUCUCCCACUGGGACCAUCAGCUUAGAAAAGAAAUGAUGUGGAUGUGCUCACCAAGUUAUUUGCAGAGCUUAGCAGAGUGGGAUAGAAGAGACCCAUGCAGGAGACCUCUCCAGGUACACAUAUUUCCUGCUACUGAAUGGCUUAGACUGGGAUUUGCAAGGAACUACGAAGUCCAAGACCUUUGCCUUUCUUUUAGAAGAAGGCACCAGCUGGUUCUCCAAUGUUGAAGGUCUUCUCCAGAGAUACCUUAAGGUGUGGGGAGAUUACAACUUGCUCAAGGUCUCAUAGCUAGAAGAUGUCAGAGUGAUAACUCAAACCAUGUCACAUGACUCUAAGCCCAAAGCAGCCUCUAGAAGGUUGUUUGAUCUUCUGAUGGAAGCACAAAUCACCAUUCCAACAUGAAAGAUGGAGAAACUUAAGUCUAGAGAGAUUUAAAGGACUUGUCAAAGGCAAUGAAACAAGUGGAACUCUGAAAGCCACAUGUUGAGAUGGCCCCAUUACAGGAUGGAGAGCACCUGAACCCCCAAGUUAUGGACUAGAAGAAGACAGUUGCCCUGGAAAAUCAUCUGACCCACAUUGGACUUUAUGUGAGGGGGAAAUAAACCUUUAUUAUGUUAAGCUACACAAUAAUAAAUAACAACAAUAAUUGUGUUUAUUUGUUACCUCA
ensembl:lncRNA LINC00511 long intergenic non-protein coding RNA 511